AUGGUUGGGCUUGCUUACAAAGAAAGUUGGAGCCGAGCCUGGGCACUAGCCCAGGCUAGCUGGGGGGUGGCUCCGCCCCUGUAUGUAGAUUAAUUAUUUAUUCUACUCCUACUUUUAAUGUUUUUUACUAGGAAAUUUAGUAUGUAUUUACAAAGUUAUUCAAACAAACUAAACCUAAAACAAUUUGUUAUAUUUUUUGUAAGCAUAACUCAGUUGGCAGAGACAUUGCGAUAUAAAAAGGCCAGAGUUUGAAUCUCGAAAUCUCCCCUUAUUUACCUCAAGGGGUGAACUUUUAGCCAUUAGACCACUUGAUCAAAGAAUGAAAUAAUAAUUUGUUAUACUCAUGAAAUAACGCUAAAAUACACAUCAAAUGUAUGUAAUUUGACUAUCUAAUAUAUUUAUAAUUACAUAAAAUAUACCAAUGGUUUUACCAAAAAAAAUUUUAAUUUUCCGAAAAAAAAACUAGUUGACCACCGCGUCGAAAACACUUUCAUCACCGCCGCCGCUGAAUCCGUCAACUCCGAUGGAGAUAAAUUAAUGAUGUUGGUGUUGUUGUCUUCACUAAAACCAUCGCCGCGGUUAGGAUUCACUUCCCUUCUUAUAAAAACGAAAACCAGAUAAAAAAAAACGAAAAAGAUUUCAAAUUUACGAAAUUCGUCGACGAGAGAGGAUAGCGGAGAAAAUCGUUGAUGAUGGUCAGCGGACAAUGGUUCAAUUUUUUCACAGUAAUAUUUACAUUCCUUUUUCUCAUUUGGUUUACACUUUCUCCUAAUUUAUUAUUGUACAUGUUUCAAUUUUGUUCUGCAUCUGAUUAUUUUUUUUUAUUAAAGUGGUGAUUAUUUUGUCUUUCAAGGUUCAUAUUCAAAAAAUUGGAAAAAUCAAUGGAGGUUAGGAUUUGUGAGUUUGAUAUGUAAUUUUGGUUUUGAUAAUAUAUGGAGGAAUUGAUAGAGAUAUCUGAGAAAGGAAGUUACAAGGGCAAUUAGAGACUCUUUUUCUUUGUUGUGAUUGUUGCUACUUCCUCUUCCGAUGUUGGCAUCACCACCCUUGCUGCCAUUAUCAAUCUCUCCAAUUCAUCCAGCCGUGACAGGUAUUAAUGAUUAGUAGGAGUGGUGGCUCAAGUGUCUUUAGGUGCUCUGAUACGUAACGGGAUGGGAACUUUGUUAUUGCUUUCUAUUCCUUACGUAUUGUUUUUGAAGAAUUAUGACUAUGUUUUUAGAAUGGAUUUUUAUGACAUAAUUGUAAAGAGGCCUUAGUGCCAAAGACUGUUUUUAGUUAUUGAAGAAAUUCCGCUGCGAAGUGUUAAAGAUUUUGUUAUUGAAUUUAAAGGAUAAAUAGUUAUUUCUUCAGUUUAUGAUUUUAAGAAAAGAAUGUGACAUUCCGUUUACGUGGAAAACUCUGAUUAUUUUUAUG
rnacentral:lncRNA from 1 species